UGUGAUGGGGAGCUAAUUAUAGCGAAGUAUCUGAUUCCACGCUGCCAAGAAAAGCCUCUAUGGAGGAAGCUAACGCCCGUACCGCAAACCGACACAGGUAGGUGAGGAGAGAAUCCUAAGACCAGCGGAAGAAUUGCUGUUAAGGAACUCGGCAAAUUGACCCCGUAACUUCGGGAGAAGGGGUGCCUACGCAAGUAGGUCG
rnacentral:rRNA from 1 species